UGUGUAGGCGGUCCCCUAAGUUUGGUGUGAAAUCUCCCGGCUCAACCGGGAGGGUGCGCCGAAAACUGGGGGACUAGAGUGCGGGAUGGGAGAGUGGAAUUCCUGGUGUAGCGGUGAAAUGCGUAGAUAUCAGGAGGAACACCGGUGGUGUAGACGGCUCUCUGGACCGUAACUGACGCUGAGACACGAAAGCGUGGGUAGCAAACAGGAUUAGAUACCCUGGUAGUCCACGCCCUAAACGAUGCAUAUUUGGUGUAGGUCAUUCAGUUGAUCUGUGCCGGAGCUAACGCGUUAAAUAUGCCGCCUGGGAGUACAGUCGCAAGGCUGAA
rnacentral:rRNA from 1 species